rnacentral:rRNA from 1 species
CCUACGGGUGGCUGCAGUGGGGGAUAUUGCACAAUGGGGGGAACCCUGAUGCAGCGACGCCGCGUGGGUGAAGGAGCGUUUCGGCGCGUAAAGCCCUAUCGGCAGGGAAGAAGAUGACGGGACCUGACCAAGAAGACCCGGCUAACUACGUGCCAGCAGCCGCGGUAAGACGGAGGGGGCAAGCGUUAUCCGGAUUUACUGGGUGUAAAGGGUGGGCAGCCGGCACUGCAAGCCAGGAGUUAAAGCUCGGGGCCCAACCCCUGGACUGCUCUUGGAACUGCAUGGCGGGAGUACAGGAUGGGCAGGCGGAAUUCCUAGUGUAGCGGGUACAUGCGUAGAUAUUAGGAGGAACACCGGUGGCGAAGGCGGCCUGCUGGACUGUGACUGACGUUGAGGCCCGAAGGCGUGGGGAGCAAACAGGAUUAGAUACCCCGGUAGUC